AAAGACUGUAAUCCUUGAGAUGUUACUGCAGAAGAACCUUCUUGUAUCCUGAAUAUUGAACUCAAAGUUGUUCUGUUCAUAUUAUUUAUGGGCAGACAUCUGUGCCAUCAGAAACUGAAUUUGAAUAAGUUAAAUUUGAAUUUGAAUUACUUGGAUUGAAUCUGAAUUGUAACUUGAAUGAAAGCUUUUGAAAACUGAAUUUGAAUUAGUCUAAUUUGAAAUUGAAUUUAUGGUUUGAAACUGCAUUUUAUCCUUUAAAAAUUCAGCUCUCGAAUAAUUUCACAUUCACUUCUCACCAUUCAGUUUCAGUUCUACAAUUCAAUUUCAGUUCCAAAAUUCAGUUUUUUGGGACUUACAUCCGGUUCCGGUUCAAGCGCAGAUUAAUAGAACUACAGACUGAUAGCGUUACUGACGGAAUCUACAGCGUCUUGAGCUGAAUUAAGACUUCAGAAGUCAUUCGUCAUGUCGAAUGACCAGCGGAUAAACUCUCAGGUGAAGAGCCUGAGGCCGGUGACAGUCCAGUUCUACUCUAAGUACAUCCUUACGGUGGUUCACAGGACAAGGCGACAUUCCUGUCCUGCCAGAAGAGAAGAGAAACUUCAGAGUCUUCAUGAAGUUCAACCACACCUGUCAUAUGGAAUAUGACAGGGGUCUCAAACUCCAUUCCUCGAAGGCCGGUGUCAUGCAACUUUUCCAUGCGCCCUUGAGGACUGGAGUUUGAGACCCCUGCCGUAUGGUGUUCAUGCAGUUUUCUACCCCACAGUUACAGCAUGUCUGACUGCCUGUUCAGCAUAUGCAAAAAUAUAUGAUGAGUUUAAGCAUGUGAUGACUAAGGCCUUCCAUUAUGGUGUUUGUCAUCACAUGUCACAGACAUCUGGAUGAUCAUUUGGAAUAAACAAAAAAACAAAAAACUUGUUACUUCAUCUUUUAUCUUCAUUAUUAUUAUUAUUAUUGUUCUUAUUUUACAUUUUUCAUUGUUAGGCAUUGGGUUUAUUUGUAGUAGUCCUUUCCAGCUUCUUUCCCUCUUCCAUGUUACUGUGUCAGCUUGUCAGCAUCUAUUUGGGGUUGGGAGUGGAACAGGAAGUAAGGAACAGAAAGUGCCAUUUAAACCAGGAGAGGUUCUUAUAUUUCAGAAGAAGGGAUUAAUUCAAAAGAAAUGACCUCAAUGCCAUAUUUUAUUUAGGAACCCUAGAGAGCACUUUGCAAAAUAACACAUUCUUAUAAUUUCACCCUCAGAUGAGCCAAGCUACGACUGUCAGGGAAGGUGAUGUAGGUACAGAGCAUGUGAGAGUGGUUAAGUUAAUGUCUCUUGUCUAGAUGAAGGCACAGGAGGGAUCAAUGGCACAGCGUAGAGAUUCAGUAUCUUCAGUCUUC
ensembl:lncRNA